rnacentral:rRNA from 1 species
AAAUUGAAGAGUUUGAUCAUGGCUCAGAUUGAACGCUGGCGGCAGGCCUAACACAUGCAAGUCGAACGGUAACAGGAAGCGCUUGCUGCUUCGCUGACGAGUGGCGGACGGGUGAGUAAUGUCUGGGAAACUGCCUGAUGGAGGGGGAUAACUACUGGAAACGGUAGCUAAUACCGCAUAACGUCGCAAGACCAAAGAGGGGGACCUUCGGGCCUCUUGCCAUCGGAUGUGCCCAGAUGGGAUUAGCUUGUUGGUGGGGUAACGGCUCACCAAGGCGACGAUCCCUAGCUGGUCUGAGAGGAUGACCAGCCACACUGGAACUGAGACACGGUCCAGACUCCUACGGGAGGCAGCAGUGGGGAAUAUUGCACAAUGGGCGCA